rnacentral:rRNA from 1 species
GAUGAACGCUGGCGGCGUGCCUAAUACAUGCAAGUCGAGCGAACAGAUAAGGAGCUUGCUCCUUUGACGUUAGCGGCGGACGGGUGAGUAACACGUGGGUAACCUACCUAUAAGACUGGAAUAACUCCGGGAAACCGGGGCUAAUGCCGGAUAACAUUUAGAACCGCAUGGUUCUAAAGUGAAAGAUGGUUUUGCUAUCACUUAUAGAUGGACCCGCGCCGUAUUAGCUAGUUGGUAAGGUAACGGCUUACCAAGGCAACGAUACGUAGCCGACCUGAGAGGGUGAUCGGCCACACGGGAACUGAGACACGGUCCAGACUCCUACGGGAGGCAGCAGUAGGGAAUCGUCCGCAAUGGGCGAAAGCCUGACGGAGCAACGCCGCGUGAGUGAUGAAGGUCUUCGGAUCGUAAAACUCUGUUAUUAGGGAAGAACAAAUGUGUAAGUAACUGUGCACGUCUUGACGGUACCUAAUCAGAAAGCCACGGCUAACUACGUG